GACGAACGCUGGCGGCGUGCUUAACACAUGCAAGUCGAACGGAAAGGCCCUGCUUGUGUGGGGUGCUCGGGUGGGGAACGGGUGAGUAACACGUGAGUAACCUGCCCUUGACUUUGGGAUAACUUCAGGAAACUGGGGCUAAUACCGGAUAGGAGCUCCUGCUGGAGGGUGGGGGUUGGAAAGUUUCGGCCGGUGGGGAUGGACGCGCGGCUUAUCAGCUUGUUGGUGGGGUGGUGGCUUACCAAGGCUUUGGCGGGUAGCCGGCCUGAGAGGGUGACCGGCCACAUUGGGACUGAGAUACGGCCCAGACUCCUACGGGAGGCAGCAGUGGGGAAUAUUGCACAAUGGGCGGAAGCCUGAUGCAGCAACGCCGCGUGCGGGAUGACGGCCUUCGGGUUGUAAACCGCUUUCGCCUGUGACGAAGCGUGAGUGACGGUAAUGGGUAAAGAAGCACCGGCUAACUACGUG
rnacentral:rRNA from 1 species